AAAAUGACCUCUGAGUCUUACACAUUCUGCCUGCUAAGAGUGAUUUUGCAUGCCUGAGGCCUCGGGCCAUGCUGUACCGGUGUGACUAGAAACAGCUCUUCUGGCAUGAUGGUGACCUGCCAUGGAAAAUGCUGGGUCCCAAUGCCCAAGUGACUGUAGUUGUGGCUCAGCCAGGACCCGACCAUUUAGAUCACCUGUUGUUAGACACGCAACACUGUCAACAUAGUUCCUGUGGGUCAGCAGCCUGUACACAGCUUACCUGGGUCCCCUGCUUGGGGGGAUCUCACAAGGCUUCAAUCAAGAUGUCAGCCCAGGCUGUGGUCUCCACUGAGGCUCCGUGGGAAAGACCCUGCUUCCAAGCUCACCUAGGUUGUUUGCAAAAUUCGGUUCUUUGCAGCUGUAGAAUGGAGGGCUUCAGUUUAUUUCUAGCUAUGCUGUGGGGCGGGGUGGGGGAGCUGCCCUCAGAUCCUAGAGGUCACCUGCAAUUCCUUGCCACUUGACUAUGUCCACAGAGGUGGUCCAUGCAUUUCUGCUUCCUUUGCCAAAGCCAGCAACAAGAGACUCCAACAAGACACAUCCUACCAUCUCAUGUAUGCAAUCCCGUGCAGGCAAUCAUGGACAUGUCCAUCACAUACAUAACCACGUCCAUUCCAUCACCUUUGCUGUAUUCUAUUGGCCCACUCAAAGGGUGUGGACUAAUUAGGGAGCGAGAAUCAGCCCUCUUAAGUCAGCCCUCUCUAUUUCAUGUGCCAACUCUCUAGAAUAUUGAUCCUUUUGGUAUUUUAAGUCAUAUCUAUUGUCACUGGAAAUCCUUUUUGAAGUAGAAAGGACAGAGCUCACAAAAUACAAACCGCGCCACUAUUCCUGCCUGUCAUUUAGAGUUUUGCCAGGGGAGCAGGUUGAUUUCAGUCUUUUCAUGGAGUUUACUGUUUGAUAUGAUGAUAUCUUUACCCCCAUAAUUAAUUUUAUUUUUAGUUUUGAGACAUGGUCUCAUUCUGUCACUCAAGCUGUAGUGCAGUGGUGCCAUCUUGGCUCACUGCAACCUCAACCAGCCCAGGUUCAAGAGAUCCUCCCACCUCAGCUUCCUGGGACCACCCCAGUGGGAUCACUGGCGCAAACCACUAUGCCCAACUAAUUUUUAAAAAUUCUUUGUAGAGAGGGGGUUUCACUAUGUUGCUCAAGCUGGUCUCAAGCUCCUGGGCUCAAGCAAUCUGCUUGCCUUGGGCUCCUUUGGGAUCCCACAAAGUGCUGGGAUUACAGGUGUGAGCCACCACACCUGCCCCCGCCCCAUAAUUAAUUUUAAGUUAAUCUCCACAUUUCAUUAUCUUGGGCUAGAUUUCGGGGGAGGGGCCUAAUUUAGCUGGCAUGUGCCCCAUUGGGUGAAUCGAAUAAAAGCAUAGCUGCCCUGGCAUGGAUCUGUGAACAAAAGUUCUCUGAAAAGAAAUUUGGAAGAAAGACUUCAUUCAGGAACAGUUCACAAACUUUCUGUGUAAACCAGUUACUUUCCAGAGAACAAAGGGAGGAUCCUGGUUUUAUAGUAAAAGUUCAUGCUCAGGUUGCCAAUCAGGUCCAUUUUAUGAAAAUGAAGGCUUUAAAUUUGCUUAGUUCUGUUUGGUUGAUGCAGCUGCAUUCUGAUUAGUGGUUAGAACUGAGCCCUAAUUGGUUCUUUCAGAUGAGCUCUGAUUGGCUGCUUUAGGUGAGCUCUGAAAGCCCCACUGUUAAACUGAGGUUGGGGGUUUCCAGGGAAACUCCGAGUAUAUGAGUUCUAGUCAGCAAAUGGCCUGGCCACUUGGCUCUCUUUAAAAUUUUGGCCCAGUUAGGUACUUGGGAUCCAUCUUGAAGGAUUGGCUCUUGAAGGAUUUGUUCUGAGAACACUUGUGAACUUGAGAGGCCCAGUAAGGCAGAGUGAAAACCAGAACGCUUGGCACCUAUCAGUUAGCACAGGAUCCUUCCCUGGAACAUCAGCAUCCCUUAUAAGUGUGUCUAACGGCCAACUCGUAGACAGAGCUAUUGUUAAUACACUGUUCUGAGUAUCCCUCUGUGAACACCUUCAUCUGGUUGAUACAGGAAAAUUAAGGAAGACAAAGUUUUGGGAAAGUGAUUGAAAUCGUGGAAUAAUCAAAGCAAAUCAAUGGCAGCUUGUGUUUAAAAUUAAAAACCAACUGUCAAGCAUGGCAUUUACCUAAAGUAAUUUCCAAAAGUAAUCAACAGAGUGAACAACACCCAGUGGGCCAGGACCAUGUCAACGUUGGCUCAUUUUCAGAAACAACAUGGUGUCAGGGCUCCAUGUUCAUGGACACCAUGAGGGGAGUCUCCUAGCAAUGACCCUCUUCUCUCCUGCAGGAAGUCCAAGGUCCUUUGCAUGGCAGUCUUAUCCCCAAAUGGCAUUUGCUUUCGACCCAUGGUAUUUCCAUAUUCCAUGAAGAAAACUUUAAAAAUAUAGGCAAAUCACCCUGCAAGUAUCCAGAGAGUUUCCAGGGGGUUUCUCACACACACACACACGCACACACACACACACACAUGUUUAGUGGGGAUCUUUUAGGUCAAUACAUAUAGAUCUACAUCAUUAUUAGUUGUUGCUUGGUGGGCCACUGCAUGAAUGGUUAAUAAUUGUUUAAUUUUUCCUAGUUAGACAAUAAAGAUUUUUAAAGAAUAUAUCUUUGCAUACUUGCUUAUUUAUUUGAUUAGGAUAAAUUCCUGAAAUUGGAAUUGUUAAACCAAGAAAUACGCAUAUUUUUAAGGCUUUUGUUAUGUUUUGUCAAAUGAUCCUCAGAAAGAAUGUUUAUUAAUUCACAUUUCCACUAGCACUACACGAUAGAACUAUUGGGUAUUUUUUAUGCUGUUACCUUUGCUGGUUUUAUAAAUAAAAUAUUCUCUUGUUCUU
ensembl:lncRNA LINC01555 long intergenic non-protein coding RNA 1555